GAUGAAGAACGUAGCGAAAUGCGAUAAGUAGUGUGAAUUGCAGAAUUCAGUGAAUCAUCGAAUCUUUGAACGCACAUUGCGCCCCUUGGUAUCCCGAGGGGCAUGCCUGUUCGAGCGUCAUUUCACCACUCAAGCCUGGCUUGGUGUUGGGCGACGUCCCCUUUGGGGACGUGCCUCGAAACGCUCGGCGGCGUGGCACCGGCUUUAAGCGUAGCAGAAUCUUUCGCUUUGGAAGUCGGGGCCCCGUCUGCCGGAAGACCUACUCGCAAGGUUGACCUCGGAUCAGGCAGGGAUACCCGCUGAACUUAAGCAUAUCAAUAAGCGGAGGA
rnacentral:misc_RNA from 1 species